UACGUAGGGCGCAAGUGUUGUCCGGAAUUAUUGGGCGUAAAGAGCUCGUAGGCGGCUUGUCACGUCGGGUGUGAAAGCCCGGGGCUUAACCCCGGGUCUGCAUUCGAUACGGGCAGGCUAGAGUGUGGUAGGGGAGAUCGGAAUUCCUGGUGUAGCGGUGAAAUGCGCAGAUAUCAGGAGGAACACCGGUGGCGAAGGCGGAUCUCUGGGCCAUUACUGACGCUGAGGAGCGAAAGCGUGGGGAGCGAACAGG
rnacentral:rRNA from 1 species